rnacentral:rRNA from 1 species
UACGUAGGGUGCAAGCGUUAAUCGGAAUACUGGGCGUAAAGCGUGCGCAGGCGGUUGUGCAAGACCGAUGUGAAAUCCCCGGGCUUAACCUGGGAAUGGCAUUGGUGACUGCACGGCUAGGAGUGUGUCAGAGGGGGGUAGAAUUCCACGUGUAGCAGUGAAAUGCGUAGAGAUGUGGACGGAAUGACCGAUGGCGAAGGCAGCCCCCUGGGAUAACACUGACGCUCAUGCACGAAAAGCGUGGGGAGCAAACAGG